rnacentral:rRNA from 1 species
AUACGGAGGGAGCAAGCGUUGUUCGGAAUCACUGGGUGUAAAGCGAGUGUAGGUUGUCAGGUAAGUAGGAUGUGAAAGCCCGGGGCUCAACCCCGGAAUUGCAUUCUAAACUGCCUGGCUAGAGUCCCGGAGAGGGAGGUGGAAUUCCGAGUGUAGAGGUGAAAUUCGUAGAUAUUCGGAGGAACACCAGAGGCGAAGGCGACCUCCUGGACGGUGACUGACACUGAGACUCGAAAGCGUGGGGAGCAAACAGGAUUAGAAACCCCAGUAGUCC